GGGUUUUAAGGUCGGGCGAGACGCCGAGACCUCUGCUCUUGUUGUUUUACAGUAAUGGUGAUCGAUGACUUACUACGGUUGACAGACAACUUAACCAUGGAUGAGAGCAGUUCACCACAAUCUAAUAUGGAAGACAGAAUCAGCGAUUUACCAGAUAAUUUAAUUCGUCUUGUCGAAAAGAUGGCAACACAUUUGGAGAUCUCUGACAAUUCUUAACUUCGACGUGUCUCAGUUUAGUUCGAGCCGAACGGGAACAUUCACCAAAUUUACGAAUUUUAUGUAUAUGGUACUCUUGUUUCGUGACGAUCACAGGAUACAGAGGUUUCCGCUUGAUUUCCGUCAAGAUAGAAUUGAUUCAUCUCAUAUCCAUAAAUGGAUUGCUAAAGCUGUAAAGCAUAAUGUUGAAGAGCUAUGUAUCAAGAGCAAUACAUCGAAUGAAUUCUCUAUAUUUUCACACAGCUUGUGUUUGUGUACUUGUAAGUCAUUGACAAAGUUGGAGUUGGAAUUGCCAUGGGGUUUCAACUUCGGUUCAGAGAUUGUUUCUACGGCCGUGAUUUUACCUAAGCUUAAAUCAAUGAAUCUGCUGUUUGGAUAUCUAUCGGAUGAUAACGUGGAUUUAGCUAGCGAGUUAUUUACUAAAUGUCCAGCUCUGGAGUCGUUGGUCUUGGUUUUCAGUAGCUGUCGACCUAUAAAUCUCAGAAUUUCUGUGCCAACACUAAAGCAUAUCAGCCUUACAGGUCAGCAAGGUCACACUAUGUGCUCCAAAUCUUUCAUCCUUCAUCUGCUUUACUAGCCUGGUAGAAGAUUACCGUCUGGAGAAUCUUUGUUACUGCUGAUGUCAGUAUCAACAUAGGACAAGACGAUAAGGUGAACAACAUCGAGCUUCGUGAAGCGACAAAAGUGUCUUAUGCUCAAAGUAUGGUGGAAUUACUGAGAGGGAUGCUCAACGUGAAAGUUCUAUCGUUAACAAAUGAAUUUAAGGUUUUAGCAGGAGCUCCUGAAAUUUUGGACUGCCGGAUUCGUAACUCUCCAAAGGUUGAUCCUUAAAACCUGGCUUUCAAGAGGUUGCAUAGACGCAAUAAUAUAUUUACUCAGGAAGUCUCCUAAUCUAGAAUUUCUGGAGCUAAACAUAGAACCGACGGUUUUAGAUGGAAAAGAUAUUUGGGACUCAGCAAUAUCAUUGCCAUUCAUGUUGCAUCACCUCAAGCAUAUGAUUCGAGGUGUCCGGGGAUAUAGCAGUAAUGAAGUACAAUUUAUAAAAGUCAUGUUGAAAAGUGCCGUGGCCUUGGAGAAAGUUGUUCUUUUCGGUAAAUUUUCUGAACAAGACCUUAGAGAAAGUUGGCCUUGGUGAAAGUUGUCUUGCAGAAAGAAACGAGCGAAGAAAUUCAAAGAGGCACUUCUUGCAUAUCCAGGAGCUUCUAGUAUUAUGUCGUUCAGGGCCGAUUCCAAGUAGGGUGGCAAUGUGGCAUUCUAAUACCAAUUUUUAAAUUUGCAUUG